GGGUUGAACAUGGAGGAUGAAGCUGGAGGUGCCGCAGCCACCUUGCCACCUGGAACCUGGGAAUGGAGUGAACACAGUUAGAGAUAGCUCCAAGGCACCAGCGAAGAGUGAAUCUCUUUGAAUUGACUUCAGAAUCUAGAGCAGCAGACAGAGCGGUAUGCGCACCUCCAGAGAACUCGGAAGUCUGGCAGCCUCUGAGGCCUGACCCCUCACUGGGCACAUGGAAACGAGCCCUGAGAAGAAGCCUGGAGAAGAAGGCCGCCUUUUCCCUCCUGAUGGCAGAGGUGACCACCAGAAGCUGCAGGCUACAUCUCACAAGUCAGCAUCUACAGGCUGAUCCCUCUGCAACCUGGCAUCGCCCUGAGAAGCUGACCUCGGGCGCCCUGUGCAACCUUCUUGAAGAUCUAGUCUAGCAGAACUUCAAGAACGGUCAUUCCAUGAUCGGCAGUCACCGUGUGCCCAAGCUUGAAGAACGGAGGACAUCUGAGGUCUCACUCCAGCGGCAUGAAGGUUUCGCUGAGCGUGGUGGUAGCCCAUCCACAUCUGAAUCUUUGUCCUCGUUGGGAUCAACACUGAUGGAGGACAGCAGCUGUUCCAUUGCCUGCACAUCCCAGGCGGUGAUGCACCUCGAAGAACCUCCAUUAUAGCAUCGCAGAGCAGGGCAGGGUCUUGGAGACCAAGUGCUCCAGUCCAUACUUCUGCAGACAAGCCAAAGGCCCAGGAGGUGAAGGGACUUGGUCAAGGUCACUCAGGAAAUCCAUGUCUGAGAAGGAUAGGGAGGGACUCUUCUCAAAACUACCCAUACAGCACUCUCUCCUUGGGAGAGCUUCUCCAGCCUGAAGGCUUUAAACAUCUCCUACCUACUGACAGCUCCCGCAUGUAUAUUUCUGGCCUGAAACUCCCCUGAAUUCUCAACUCCCAACUCAUGCACUCAGCUGCCCAGGCAUAUCAGCCUCAGCCUGUCCAAAAUGAAACUUCUCACGCCUCCCUCUAAACCCGCUUCUUCUCUGGUCUUCCGCAUCUCAGAGCAAGGCAAGGCUGUCGAGUUGCUCAGGACCCAAACCCGGAAGUCAUCUUUUAUUCAUUUAUUCUUUUUUUCUAGUUGAAGUAGAGUUGCUGUACAAUAUUAUAGAAGUUACAGGUGUACAAUACAGUGACUCACCAUUUUUAAAAGUUACACUCCAUUUAUCGUUGUUGUAUCA